GCUAUUUCAGUAGCUUAGACAUUCUUCUUCCGUCGCCCAUUUAUGUCUAUCGUAUUGUAGUCCGUGCCUUUUUUCUUGUAUUUUUUUUGCUUUUUCUGUGUUUUCCUGGCUCUCUUGUCACCUUGACUUCCGCUCUUCCGUUAUACUCGCAUCGCCUCCCCCCUCACCCGUCCCCUUCCCUCGCUCUACGGGAACGUAGUUGUUUCUUCUUGCCGCGUUUUUUAUAUUUUUAUACACACACACACACACUUAUACACAGACACAUAUAUAUAUACACACGCAUACACAGACAUCUAUAUAUAUAUAUUUACAUAGUUAUAUCUAGUACAAUUUUUUUUUGUGUGCGAGUUUUGCGUUCUUUACGGCGUGCGAUGCAGAGCGUCUGCUUUUCGUAUGCUCAUCGCCCCUCCCCUACCCACGCCGCCUUCUUGCCGUGUGUUGCCAGUACUGCCUCUGUUUCCGAUGGUUUAGUAAUAUUGUAUUUUUUUUUCUUUAGUUUCUUGGCUUUCUUCCCUUCUUUGUUGCAUGUGUACGCUGGGAUCGUGCAUGUCGGUGCGUCUUUCUCCGCUGCCACCGUUGGCACUCGUGUACGUGCUGCUUGACCUUUCCGCUUCUCUGCCUCUCACCCUUCACAUCUUCCAGGCGCCAUCACAAGAGUGCUCAGCAGGCCAGCGUAUUUGUCGUGCUUUCCUGACUCUUGUCGCCUGGCGUGUUACCCCUUCUUGGUGUCGGCUCCGCUUACGCUCUUCUUCCAUUGCAUCGCAUUCCUCGCAGCCGGUGAAGCGGGUGGUGGGGCGACAUUCAUUGUCUUGACAAGCUCGUCUCGGUGUGGUAGAAGUCGAGAUCAGAACAACCGCCAUGGAUGCGGACAAGCGCCUUGCUACGUCGCCGGAUGCACGCGGCGACUCCCCAAGCAGCAGCAACGCUCGCCUUCAUUUGUGGUCCUCUUUUGAUAGCGAUGACGUGCCCCUCACCCUCAAACCCACGCCCGUUGGGGCGAGAACAGGGAACGGCAGUCAGGAUGUCAGGCCAACAAAGGGGGCGGCAUCUUCUACAAAAGUAACGACACCGAUCAUGUUGCACCCCGUGGCGGUGAACGCAACAGGCAUGUCCGCCGAUCAGCAGCGGCCGCCACCCUCCGUCUUCAUAGCCACGCCGCCCUUGUUUCGCUCUAUGUUACCUCCACGCGGCGCCGAGGCGAAGACAGUCGCUUACCCGGAAGUCUCUGAUCAACCAGGCUCAGAGGAAGAAAUGCAGAUCCUCAAGCCGGCCACUGACAUAACCCCAACUCAAGCUUCAAUCAUCAACAUCAGCGGCAAUCCCGCCGCGGCGAUCCCGCCGUUGCCGUCCGUGAGUGUUGGUGAGCACAGCUUCGAAGCUGGCCGUUCAAGGCGCAAGCUAGGCGGCAAGUCGGAGGUAUCGUUUAUGCAAGCAACGUUGACGGCGCCGGGAGCUGGAGCUGCCCUACCUGUUGCGACGCCGGGUGCGAACCACAGCGUUUCGAGUGGCGGGGGCCACCUGCGCACCCCAAGCUCUCGCUUCGGGAAGGUGAGCGGUGCUGGAUCUAUGGCGUUCUUCUCGGGUGCCGGCGGCAGCUUACUCCCUGCCGAGGGAACGAGAGGCGGGCUGGCCAGCCGGGCUUCUGCUUGCCCCAGCUACCACGCGAGCAGUAGCGCGAACGAGGAAAACCGUUUCGACGGCACAGAGACGGUGGCCAGCGCCCUCGGCGGCGAGAAACCCCUCUUUUCCACUGUUCGGAGUGCUGAACACGCUAACAGGUCGUCUUCACCGAAGCCUGGCAGCGGCGCGGCACGGCCGCUCAUCUGCCUGUCGUCCAAGAUGCGCUCUGGCACCCGCUGUCCGGAUCAGCAUCACCACACCGCUGAUCCGUCAUUAGCGAGCACGUGGGCGUCGUCGUAUAGACCAGGCGCGACCGCGACGCGGUCCGAGCGGCGCACUUGCCGGGUGCCCGUCUCUAUGGCGGUCGUGAUGAGUACAGUCAUCACCGUCAUCCUCGUUGCCGCCCUCACCAUUGUGCCUCUCAACGCCGUCUCAACCCAGUCGGUCGACUAUGUGAUGUCGACGCUCAGUCUCUCGCUUGCCUCUUCCUACACGCGGUCGGUGGAGGCAACGAUGCUGUUUUUGCCGAACGCGAUCAGCGCCUACGCGUUUGCUUACAUGAAUUCAUCGGACACGCAGGCAUGGAACUGGAAUGCCGCUGACAUGCCGCAGGCGCUGCGGCAGAUGUGUCACACAGUCGCCGGCACCGAUCGCAACCCCACCUCCUUUUUGCUCUACAUGUCCUUGAGCAGCCCGUACACGGGCUACAGCGCGUACUGCUCACAGCAGUACACCGAUGACUGCCUGAUCGGCAACUACAUCACGGACAACUCGUCUCAGCCCCGCUACUUCGUUAACGGAACGACCUACAACUACGCUGAGCCCCUCAUCAUGUACCCGGCUGUGCAAGCAAUGACGCCGUGGGAGUACACGGUUGAUUUUGGAGGGACAAAGAACACGUGGCAUAGUGUUGUCAUGCCGUGGUACGCACAAUACCAACAGGCCCGGCUCUCAAAGGCGGCUGUAGGCGCUGCCUUGCCUCACGAGGCUGCUCCUGACUGUGAUAGGCGCUCCUCCACAGGGCCCGAGCACUCGGUCGUUAACCCUCUCAAAUACCUGAACGGGUACUGGCGCAUCUUCAGCACCAACGUCAGCGUCAUCACGUACACGUUACCGUUCGUCGACUACGCCGGCAACCCAGCCUCUAUCAUGGAUGCCCUGCGUGCGGACGGCUUCAACGCCCUGCACUCCGACGGCCUCAUUGCCGCGGCCAGCAGUGCCCGCGCCAUGGUUGUCGACACGUCAAGUGGUCUUGUCUUCAUCACCUCCUGGGGACAGGACACGACAGUGCGGUUGGACAACUGGAACACGUCGUGCAACUGCACUCCUGGCGGAAGCAACCAGCGAGCGUUAUACCUAGAAGACAUCACAGACCCGCUCAUGAUUGCUGCCGUGCAGAACGUUGGCGGGCAGGAAGGCAUCGCCGACACGCCGUUAGAGGUGGAUCGGUGGAUCGGUCAAUUCACUUUUAACGACACCGAAAACCUGAUGGUGAUCAGCCGCGUUGCCAUCUCCUCUGACUACUCCGACAUGAACCUCGUCGUGAUCUACGCCAUGUGCAAGAAUGACUUCAUCGUCUUCAUCAAUCAUGUACAAAUUACCGCCCUUAUCGCAGUCGUGCUGGUUCUGGUGGUUAUUGUGCUGAUCGAGAUCUCCCUUCUGUACCUGCUUGUGCAGCCGGUGCGCGGGGUGGCAGCCGGUCUGCGCGCAGCUGCGGAGCUGCGCGACGGCAAAGAGUGCGUCGACCACGCAACGUCCUUGAUCAAGGAGGUGGCGGAGAUGCAGCGUUACUUCCACAUUAUGAAUAGAAAGCUAAUGCAGAUGAAGACGUUUCUCCCGCAGGGUAUGCUCGGGGCCCAAGCCGUGCACACCGACAUUCAAGGCGCCAGCGAUGCCGGCUUGACUGUUUUCCCCACCUCGACGUUACAUGGGCGGGGAGGUGGCGGCGUGUGGGAGAAUGCGUACGGCGACGAUGGGUACGGUGGACCGGGUGACAUGCUUGGCGGCGACGGCAGCGGCGACGUCUGCGCAGCCCACCGCGGCGGCAAAGACAGCGACUCUGAGCUGGGAAGUAUACUCGACGCGAGUGAGACGGGCCAGAAGCAGCGCCGGGGCUGCGGCCAGCCAGUGGCGGAGGUGGCACACCUCCGUCUGAAUGAUCACGUGCUCCUCGAGGAGGUGAACCGCUUUCGUCGGCGCUACUGCAGCACCAUCGUUUUCUGCAUGCACUUGAUGGAGUCUGAGAUCAGCGUAAAGUUCUUGAACAAGAACUGCGUCUACUUCACCGAGGGUGUGCUGCCGUGCGUGCUGCGUUACGGCGGCGUGAUUGAGUUGCAGCGGCCGGACUACAUUGUCGUCAGCUUCGGCGCGCACAACAAGGUCGCGCUGCACCAGAACCGCGCCGCCAUGUGCGCGCUGGAGGUGAUGAAGGUGCUAAACGCCACCACCCCGAUCGGCCCACGCGUGGGGUGCAUGAUCGACGCAAGCGAGUACUAUGUCGGCACCUGCGGCGCGGCGGACCGUAACGCGCUCGUCACCUUCAGCAACAGCCUAGUCCCGAAGGUUGACCUCAUUCGCGUGCUCAAGUCUGUGCAGACGCAGAUUGUUCUCACGCAGCGACUCGCCUCCACCCUGGAAAGCUCGAUGCUCGUCAUGCCGGUGGAUUGCAUGAUACUGAACCCGAUCGGCUUGAAGGAGAUCAUUCUAUACGAGCUGCGGGGCGACAUCCGCAUGCUGCCGUCGAAGGUGUCUGUGGUGAUGGUGCGCGAGGUCAUCCGUGCUGUGCGCAUGGGCUUCACUCACAUGCUCAAGGGCGACUAUAGCAGGGCACUAGAGAUCCUAGAGCCGUUCGAGACAAUGGAGUUGCAGGCGGCCCGCCUCGGCUUCAUGUGCAAGGUCUUUAUCUCACACAACAUUAACCGCCCGUUUGUGCGGUCCGUCACACGCCUUACUUUUUCUGAGGCACACUUUGCAGGCUACAACGAUUGCUGGUCCACGGAGUGGGGCGAGUUGCACGAGAGCGGCACCUCUUUCGGCGCUCACGGGCACAAGAGUACUACUGACGGCUCCGUGGAGACCGCGAAUCCGCUAGCCGCCGGUGGUGGCAUCGGCGGCAGCGCCUCCUCCUUCGCGUUUUCGCCCUUCAGCAAUGACCUCGAUCCGGCGACGCUUCUGAUGACGCCGCCGACGCUUCGGUUGGUUGUCGGGGCUUCCUUGAACCUUCCCUUAUCUAGCAAGGAAGGCUCCAAGCAGAUAAAUGAGGGCAGCGUGACGGUGGGCGCCGCGUCGGUUGCCACUCGCGCCGACGAAGGCUCUCUGACCAUGCGCAGGAGCACCGGCGCCGCUGAGGAGAAGGCUGAGCAGAAUGAACUGGAAAGAGCGGCUGCGAGACGUGCCGUGGCGGAUGAGGGCGAGACAGCGCUCUUCGAGAUAUUUGUGGAGAACCAGCCCGACGACGAUGACGACGUGGAUGACGGAGAAGCCGAGGCGGGCGGGAGGGGCAGCUGGGCUGGCAGCAGCGCGUAUUACAGCGCUUUCAACAACGCGACAAACAACGGCGGCUUCGGCGGCGGCGGCGGCGGAGAGGUGCCGGUGAAGCAUUGUACCGCAGCAGCUAUGAGCACAAGAGAGGCGAUACGGUGCCCUCGAAAAAGUGAGUUGCCCCUCGUCUUCAACGACUACGAGGGCAACACGUGGCGCCGCUCCUACGACAUACUAGGUACUGGCGCCUUCUCCACCGUAUACCGCGGCCUAUCCAUGUCUGGCAACCUCGUUGCGCUCAAGUGCUUCCAACUCGGCGCUCGAAACAUCGAAGUCCACGCAAUCGUCGAUGAAGUGCGACUGUUUGCAAACCUGCACCACGAAAACGUUGUGCAGUACCUCAGCUUGUACGUGUCGGAGUCGUACGUGAUCGAGAUUAUGGAGUUUGUGCCGGGCGGCUCCCUCGAUACACUGCUGAAGAGCUUUGGCUCUCUUCGGCCAGAGUCAGUGCGACGCUACCUGCGAGAUAUCGCGCGUGGUUUGAGCUAUCUGCACACGGCAAACAUAGUGCACUGCGACAUCAAGCCACACAACGUCCUCCUUGCCAUGGAUGGACAGUGCAAGCUGAGCGACUUCGGCUCCGCAAUCGCCCGGGCGACCUCGUCCAUAUGCAGCAUUGACAACGUUCUUGAGAUGCGCGGCACGCCGGGCUAUAUGGCGCCUGAGGUGGCGCGCGGUGACGUGCCGACCAUGAAGAGUGACGUGUACUCGCUGGGAAUCACCAUUUUAGAGCUUCUCACUGGGAGGCUGCCUUGGGACUACGCCGAUGCAUUCGCCCCGAAGCUUUCAGGGAAGCUGGCACAACCCAAGAGCACUUCUGAGCAGCGCGCGUCGCAGCUGCAUACGUGCCCCGCGGCGGGAGCGCGGGGCACAGGGGUGGCAGACGGCGCUGUCGCACAGGCGGGCGCCGAUCUGUCGGAAAAGACGUUGAAUGCGGGGAUCUCUGCCACCCGGGGGCCCUCGGGCGGGCCCAUCACGGAUAGCCACCUCUAUGCCGCGACGAUGCUGUCGAACGCAAGCUACGCAGGCCCGGCCACGCCUAUGGGCGAGAUGGUGUGCGGCUUUGGCAGUGGUCCUCUCUCUUCGAAAAAUCAGAGCGGUGAGGCGGAGCACAGCUUCAGACGUUUGGAGUUUAGCGGCAGCGGCGCAGGGAUCACCGAAGGGAGCUCUGGCCUGCCCCCACACGCACUGGCAAGCACACCGGAAGAGAGGGCCUCUGCGACUGUUGCUUCCCUGAGAGCCACCACCUCUCUCGCGAAGGUCGCCGCGGCGGAGAACGCGGCAGCCGGAGCAUGCAAUGAUGACGGCACCGUUAUGCUUCUCGGUGGUGCCCUAAAGCGUUCCCUGGAGAUCAAUCAGAGUCGGCAGCAACAUGACAGCAUCGCUUACAGCCCUUCCUCUACCUCUCGGCCCCCUUCCAGUUCGAUCUUAUCUUCGUUCUACCAGACCCAGCGCUUCGCUGUGCCGCUACACCGCCGACCUAUCGAACAAGUGCUUCGAAGCUCCACCCAGCUUGUUGUGUAUAUUGGACGUGGGCUAGUGGUGCCGCGGAUCCCCGAUACGCUGGAUGAGGACGUGAUAAACUUCCUGGAGCUGUGUCUGAAACCUGACCCGGCAGAGCGUGCCUCCAUGUCGGAGCUGAUGCUUCACCCAUGGCUGAUGUAAAGAGCACGAGGGAGGACAGGAGGGUUGAGGCUAGGGCAAGCCGGGUAGGCAAGGUGUACGCAGGCGGUGUAUGCCUGCACGACUCGCCUGCAUUUUGUGGCAGCUUCACUUGGCGUGAUCUCUUUCUCUCUCCCCUUUUGCACCCCCAGCUUCACCCCCCCCCCCCCCCCCCCCAAUGAGCGCUAAGCUGACCGUAUGCAGGUCAUGUCCACAUCCUCCCGCACAGGCCUGCAUGCGCGCGUUCCCUCGCUUUUCCUUUUUCUGCUGUUUCGUUUCCCUGACGAGCGAUCUUUUCUUUGGCGGCGUCUUCCGUUACUGGGUGACUUCAUUGCAUGCCCCGUGCACCGCAAAGGACGCGUUUCCUUUUCUUUUCUUUAUGCACUUCGCUUCCUUUUCCGAUCGAUACGUUACAUGGGUUUGUGCAUCCACAUGUAUAGACAAAUAUGUAUAUAUAUAUAGACGUGUACAUGUGUGUGCGUGUUGAAGGUGGUGCCCCCCUUUCCCUUCCCACUUCCCUGUGCCGCUCAGACAGGCUCAGGUGCUCCAAACAGGUCUCUCGUUGCCCGGCUCCCCUUCUCGUAUCCCAUUACUUUUUUUUUGAAUUUUCGUAUUCCUCAGUUUUUGUUGUACCCGGCUUUUUCGUCUUGGUAUCUCAGGACACAGCAGCACGGCUGGCAAGCUUGCCAAGCAACAGGCAAUGCCAGGGGCGCCGACGCCAACUGCUUAGGCCACGAGCCCGGCUACUGCUCUCGGACGCCAGGGCGCAAUCCCCCGAAACCGCGAUACGCGAUGCGACACCCUCAGACAAGAGGCGCAUGACAGCGGCGAUCCCACACCAGAAGAGCAAGGAUGUUGAGCUGACAAGAUGGCAGGAGGACUCUCCUCGCCCGGCCCCGCACGGGCACCUGUCCGCACUUGGGAUUCCUGCAACGGCGGGUGACUGGCAGCGACAUCAUGGGGUGUAGAUGGCUUAAUACAAACUUCUCCGCUAGCGUUGCGGUAACCCACCCCCGCCAGAGCCUCCACUCCCGCCGGCUUGUGCUGUAAGGGCGCCCGACCCGGCGCUAUGCCUGGUAUGCUACGCGCGAUGUGCGGAUCGCUCGACGCUCACAUCACGCCCCGUCUCCCUCUGUGGCCGUGCACGCAGUGACCUGUUUACGCACAUCUCCCUUGAGCGACAUGGCCUUUCCCCGCCGGCUGACCAUCGCUGCCCCCUAUGCCCCUUCACAAGGACAAGCUGCGGGCUCUUUGUGCGCCGGCAAAUGCGUCUCCGCGGGGCCCCUUCCGCUUGACACACCGACUCCUGCCCAGGGGCGUGCGGGCUGAGGAGAGGGCGGAGUGCCCCUGCCGCCACAGACUCAUGGCAUCGCUCCACCUGUCGCUGCGCGUGCGGGCACGACUCCGCGACAGCGACACCGUGCUUAAGCAGACCCCGCCAUGCCACAAGGCGAGCACGGUGCGCACGCGCUGUCAAGCAGAGCUGGCAUGGCGCAUCGCACCCAGGCAAGGCAUCAAGAGGGGCGCAGAGCAGGAUUGCCCCACGGGCAAGACGUGGAGCGAUGCACACGAAUCAGCUCCAUAGUGCAUGCGCGCGAAGCAUGCAGCAUCUCCUGCAUCUGACCGGUGCGGGCUGAUGAGGCGCAGAUGCCAAAGGCAUCGUGAAGGCACCCUCGAGCUCCACCACCGGGUCCUCCAGACUCCCACGUGCAGAGCCUCCACACCAUAUUAUGGGAUGCCGCCGCUUGAAGCGACUGAGGGGACGAAGCGUGGCACACAGGCAGGGGGGCGUAGGACCUCGGGGGGGGGCCUGGCCCUGAGGCUGGCGGACUUCGUCCCUGCGCUCAUCCGGCAUGCGCCUUGGCCACCCCCCGUUGCCCGCACGGCAGACGCUACUGCCUCGGCUCUAGACGACGACCCUGGACGUCGCUCGCUUUAGAUGAGGGCAUGCAACCCACACGCGUCUCCAUGUGGAGCCGAUCGCGCCGCACGCAUGCAGGGAAGGGACGAGGAAGGAGAGGGAGGCCCCGCUAGGCGCACGGCUUCGAUUCGACGGCAGACGACGAGGGAGGCAGCCUGCAGCGCAGCAGGCGCAGGUGCACUGUGGCUGUGUAAUGCGCACGUCUUGUUGGCUUGUUCAUGGUAGAAUGGGCGUGCGAAAGGCACCAACAUGCGCUCAAGCGCUGCUGUAUACUGAUGACAGGGACGACACCCCUCAGUGCGUGGCACCACAAGGGCCAGUGCACCCUCACUCUCUGUGGGGAAGCCAUGCAGCCCCCCCCCCCCUCCACAGUAUCCCUGUCAAGUGCCGAACGCCGCGCUUCCGGUGGCGACACGGUCAAGCACCUACGGUGUGAGGGGGUCAGAGCGGUGCAUCGCCACGGGCAUGCCGGCGGUCAGGUCGUGGAUCGGCGUUGCGUUGGAGCGACCUGCGGCAGCGAACACGUGUGUACCGCGCAUAUAGCAUGGCAGCGUGAAUCGAGCUCAUCCCGCCUGGCCCUCACGCUGCCUACAGAGGUGGAGAGAGGGGGGGAGCCCGAGUGCCACCCCGAGGGGGAUGCAUCGAAUGGCGAGCGGCAUAGCGGCCGCGGCUGUGAGGCGACCUGAAGAGCGCGUGUGGGUGGGUGUGGUGUGUGACGCAGGGGCCGUGCUCCGAUGAAUGCGCCGGCGCAUUGCUGUACCGUGCGCGCCUGCGGCUGCGUGGCACCACGCGAUGGGGAGGGAGGGGGGCUGUGGCAGGCCGGAUAGAGUGAUCUUUAACGGAUGUUCUAGGGUAGAAUGGACAAGGUGAAGGCAAAAUCGAAAUGAAGAAAAUACCGAUGCGUCCAAGGGCUGUGGCGGCCAAG
rnacentral:misc_RNA from 1 species